AUCUGCUGCGGGCUGAUGAAAUGGAUGUGGGUAUCAAUGCCGCCCGCGGUGACCAGCAUGCCCUCGCCCGCGAGUGCCUCGGUGGACGCGCCGACCGUCAUGCCCGGCGUGACGCCGUCCAUCGUAUCCGGGUUGCCCGCCUUGCCGAUGCCCGCAAUCUUACCGUCCUUGAUGCCAAUAUCCGCCUUAAUAAUGCCGGUGGAAUCGACAAUCAGUGCAUUGGUGAUGACGAGAUCAAGGUCGCCGUCCAUGCUGCGGGUUUUGACCGACUGACCCAUGCCGUCACGC
rnacentral:sRNA from 1 species